rnacentral:rRNA from 1 species
AUGGCGGACAAGAAUACGCCGCCGGGGGGGCUGAAGCAACGCGGCCCGGCUCCGCCGAAGAUCCCGGGGCGUCGCCAAGCCAUGGGGGGUGCGUGUACUGCUGCUGCGCCUGGUAAAGGUGCUGCCCCUCCUACACAAACUACCGUCGCUGUGCUACCGCCACCGAUCCCUCCUACCCCACCGGUGCAAGUCUUCGACGAGCGCUACAAAGAUAUGGUUUGCUUUACCCGCGGAGGCCCUGGCCACUAUGUUGGUAAUUGCAUCCAGAAGAAAGCUUGCUUCAUCUGUGGAUUGGAGGGUCACAAUGUUAAUAAUUGUGCAGCCUGGGCACAACCUCAUCCAGUUGCCACUUUCUUUGGGGGUUCUGCUCUGGGACUGGGGUUCUAUCACAUCGACGCUCCUGUGGGUAGAGAAGCAAGUUGGCUGAACUUCAGGAAUUGCGGAGAAGUUUGGAUCAUGAAAGGCGAAAUCAACAAGUCAGAUCUAGUUAAGAAUCUCUCUGGUAUAUUUUGCAAAAACAAACAAUGGACGUGGCAGAUCAGGCCACUAUCAGAGAAGAAGUUCCUGGUCAGAUUCCCACCCUGGAAAGAUGUCGAAGAACUGAUUGAAUUCCCUGCCUUUGAUCUGCUCAUCGAUGGAGUGUCUGUGUCUGUGGAAAAGUGGACCGGUUCAAUUGACCCAUUCAGCGAGCUUACUGAAGCAUGGGUAGUUGUUGAGGGUCUGUCAUCAAAAUGGUGCACAUGGAAAGUCCUAUCUCAAAUUGCUUCCUGCUUUGGAAUUCUUGUGGAUGUAGAUUGGAAUGGUCUGAUGAAGAGCUUCUAUGAGAAAGUGAGGGUCAAAAUUGCUUGUAGGGACCUAGCUAAGAUCCCUUUCGAAAGGAUUAUGGAGAUGAGGAAAAAACUCUAUAUCUUAUCCUUUACUGUGGAAGGUUUUCACCAGAUAGGGGCUGAUGAUCCUAAUGAUGAUGAUGGACCUACUAACAUAGCUGUGGAUGAUUACAACAAGGUAAUUGAUGAGGAGGAACUGGAUAAAGACAUCCUGGAUGAUGGAGAGGAACACAUAGAUGACCUAGACCUUGCCAACAGAGCCCCCACAAAAACUCCAGCUAGGAAGAAAGCGACUGAUGAUGGUGCUACAUUCCAUCCCCCUGCUCUGUUGGAGGCAUGCAUCUCUCCUGUGAGAGCUAAUAAGAAGACUGAAGAAGAAACUGUGGCCCAGAGCGUGUGCUCUUCGAUACCCUUCUCUGAGGCAAUCAAAAUCCUUAGCACUCCCCACAACAAAGCAAAUGAGGUCAGUAUGCUUGCUGCAUCGUCAAGUGGUGAAGCUGCUAUCACUUCCCCAGUGUUUGCUCAAAAAAUAUACUGUUCUGGUAUGCUAGAAGAAUUGGAAGACUCUGCUUCUGAUACUGACAGUGAAUCUGUUGAACCUGAUGAGGAAAUGGUUACUGUUGAAGCUCCAAUAGCUAGUGGCUUGAAGAUAAUGGAACUUAUGGAGAAAACCAAGGAAAGGGCUACACCCAAGAACAAGUGGGGCCCGGUGGUUGCUCCAAGACUGAGCUCCAGGGUCCACAACAGGCAAAAUAUCAUGGAGAAAGCUGCAGCUUACAAGAUGAAACAAAACCUGGAAAUCGCCCUUACAUUUAAAAGGCGCGCCGUGGACAAGCACCCGUGCAAUCUUGGCAAGGAUCAGCUUAUCGCUACAUCAAUGGAAGCUUCUCUGUGUGGGCGACCAAUCGGUGCUGCUGAGAAGAUGCAUUCAACUCCUGGAUCGGCGAAGAGGCGAGCUGCUCAAGAUUGCGUGGGCAUUGGGCUGAGAGCUUGCGUGAAGAGGACCCGAGACGAGGCGCUGAAGGCUCAUUCAGAGUGA